rnacentral:rRNA from 1 species
AUUGAACGCUGGCGGCAUGCCUUACACAUGCAAGUCGAACGGUAACGGGCCUUCGGGUGCCGACGAGUGGCGAACGGGUGCGUAAUACAUCGGAACGUGCCCGAUCGUGGGGGAUAACGAGGCGAAAGCUUUGCUAAUACCGCAUACGAUCUACGGAUGAAAGCAGGGGACCGCAAGGCCUUGCGCGGACGGAGCGGCCGAUGGCAGAUUAGGUAGUUGGUGGGAUAAAAGCUUACCAAGCCGACGAUCUGUAGCUGGUCUGAGAGGAUGAUCAGCCACACUGGGACUGAGACACGGCCCAGACUCCUACGGGAGGCAGCAGUGGGGAAUUUUGGACAAAGGGCGCAAGCCUGAUCCAGCCAUGCCGCGUGCAGGAUGAAGGCCUUCGGGUUGUAAACUGCUUUUGUACGGAACGAAAAGCCUUCUUUUAAUACAGGAGGGUCAUGACGGUACCGUAAGAAUAAGCACCGGCUAACUACGUG